CAAAUCUCCCUUCUUUGGGUCAACUGCGGUUGCGUAAACAGUGUAAACGAGACCGAAAGUCAUCACAAUCUCGAAUACGAACGCGUUCCAUACUGAUACACCGGCUGACAAUGCAAAUGAUCCCGUGCUCAUGCCACCGGUGGCGAAUUCAAGGAGAGCGCAAGCAGCAGUGGAUCCAAGCAACUGUGCAAUGAUGUACAAAAUUCCACGGAACAAAGUGAUGUUUCCACCAACAAAAGCACCGAAGGUAACAGCAGG
rnacentral:misc_RNA from 1 species